AACGAACGCUGGCGGCGUGGAUAAGACAUGCAAGUCGAACGGGGAACUAUAUGAAGCUUGCUUUACGUAGUUCCUAGUGGCGAACGGGUGAGUAUCACGUGAGCAACCUGCCCAGAAGCGGGGCAUAGCCUGGGGAAACUCGGAUUAAUACCGCAUGUGAUCCCUCCUGGCAUUAGGAGUGGAUUAAAGGUGGGGACCCUUCGGGGCCUACCGCUUCUGGAUGGGCUCGCGGCCUAUCAGCUUGUUGGUGAGGUAACGGCCCACCAAGGCGACGACGGGUAGCUGGUCUGAGAGGAUGGUCAGCCACACUGGAACUGAGACACGGUCCAGACACCUACGGGUGGCAGCAGUCGAGAAUCAUUCGCAAUGGGCGAAAGCCUGACGGUGCGACGCCGCGUGGAGGAUGAAGGUCUUCGGAUUGUAAACUCCUGUCAUCAGGGAGUAAGUCAGUGGUCACGAAUAGCGACCACUGUUGCUAGUACCUGAAGAGGAAGAGACGGCUAACUCUGUGCCAGCAGCCGCGGUAAUACAGAGGUCUCAAGCGUUGUUCGGAUUUACUGGGCGUAAAGCGUGCGUAGGCGGCGAGGUAAGUCAGAUGUGAAAGCUCGGGGCUCAACCCCGAAAAUGCAUCCGAUACUGCC
rnacentral:rRNA from 1 species